rnacentral:rRNA from 1 species
ACUAUGCUUAGCCCUUAACAAAGGUGUACCCCACACAUCCUACACCCGCCAGAUGAUUACGAGCCAAGCUUAAAAUUCAAAGGACUUGACAGCACUUCAAAUCCACCUAGAGGAGCCUGUCCUAUAAUCGAAAGUACACGAUUCACCUAACCACCCUUAGUUAUCCAGUUUGCAUACCGCCGUCGCAAGCUUGUCUCGCUGAGAGAAACAAAAUGAGCACAAUAGCCCCCCCCCGCUAAAACGUCAGGUCAACGCGCAGCUAAUGGGGUGGAAAGGAUGUGCUACAUUUUCUAACACAUAGAAAUACGUGACGGAACGUCCCGUGAAACCGGGACUGUUUAAAGCAGAAUCUAGUAGUAAGUCAGGAAAAGAACGCCUAGCUGAAAAAGGCCCUGAAGUGUGU